GUAGGAGGCGAGCGUUGUCCGGAUUUACUGGGCGUAAAGGGCGUGUAGGCGGUAGCGCAAGUCGGGUGUGAAAGCCCCUGGCUUAACCAGGGAGGGUCAUCCGAAACUGCGCUGCUUGAGGGCAGCAGAGGAAAGUGGAAUUCCCGGUGUAGUGGUGAAAUGCGUAGAUAUCGGGAGGAACACCAGUGGCGAAGGCGGCUUUCUGGGCUGCACCUGACGCUGAGGCGCGAAAGCGUGGGGAGCGAACUGAAUUAGAUACUCAGGUAGUCCACGCUGUAAACGAUGGACACUAGGUGUGGGGGGUAUCGACCCCCUCCGUGCCGAAGCUAACGCAUUAAGUGUCCCGCCUGGGGAGUACGGCCGCAAGGCUAAA
rnacentral:rRNA from 1 species